AGCCUUGUAUUGCUGCAUACCAGCAAUAUUGAGGUUCACAUUGCCGUACAUGGUUGGAUCAGUGGCUGAAAGAAUCAAACGCUGAAUACCAUCAGGCACUUGGUUUUCUUGACUGGCACCCAUUUGCAAGCGAGCCAGCAACGCCUCACGUUGCGGAUGCGAAUACAACCUGGCGUAUAACUCAGAGCGUGUGAUGUAGUAAAUCUGAAUCAACGCUUCUUGCCGGUCGGUGUGCGGCGUAUCUUCUCGUUACACGCCAAUACACCGAGGAUCAACCAUGUACGGGUGCAAACCAUUCUUUUGAAUAAGCUUAAUGAAGGUGGAGUUGUAGCAAAGCGCCCAGUUCAGCGCUUGGGCAAACACCUGAUCAGCAUUGCUAUUGAGCCAAUCGUCAUUUAAAGCGCCUGUAAGCGAAGGAAUCUUGGUUUGCUCGUGCUUAUUGACCGAGGCGCCAAGCGAGAUGGUAAAGCGCGUGGUUUCAGCGGAAUAGAGAAAGGAGGAGAGCUGAUCAAUGUGCGGGUAAAUCUUGUUGUAGGACACAGGUGCUGCAUGGUUGUCGUCAGCUCGUGCCUUGAGGUGUUCGGUUAAGUCCGUUAACGAGCGCAACCCAUGUCGUUAGUUGUAUUUUCUAACGAGACUGCCUAGGUUAACUAGGAGGAAGGUGUGGAUGACGUCAAAUCAGCAUGGCUUUUACGUCUGGGGCUACACACAUGAUACAAUGGUAUGCACAAAGAGUCGCAAUACGGUAACGUUGAGCUAAUCUUUAAAACAUAUCUCAGUCCGGAUUGAGGGCUGCAACUCGCCCUCAUGAAGUUGGAAUUGCUAGUAAUCGCGGAUCAGCAUGCCGCGGUGAAUACGUUCUCGGGUCUUGUACACACCGCCCGUCAAACCAUGAGAGUUGGUAAUACCCGAAGCCGGUGGCCUAACCUAGUAAUAGGAGGGAGCCGUCGAAGGUAGGAUCGAUGAUUAGGGUUAAGUCGUAACAAGGUAUCCCUACGGGAACGUGGGGAUG
rnacentral:rRNA from 1 species